rnacentral:rRNA from 1 species
UCGAGUGGCGAACGGGUGAGUAACACGUGGGUAAUCUGCCCUGCACUUCGGGAUAAGCCUGGGAAACUGGGUCUAAUACCGGAUAGGACCUUUUGGCGCAUGCCUUUUGGUGGAAAGCUUUUGCGGUGUGGGAUGGGCCCGCGGCCUAUCAGCUUGUUGGUGGGGUGACGGCCUACCAAGGCGACGACGGGUAGCCGGCCUGAGAGGGUGUCCGGCCACACUGGGACUGAGAUACGGCCCAGACUCCUACGGGAGGCAGCAGUGGGGAAUAUUGCACAAUGGGCGCAAGCCUGAUGCAGCGACGCCGCGUGGGGGAUGACGGCCUUCGGGUUGUAAACCUCUUUCAGCAGGGACGAAGCGCAAGUGACGGUACCUGCAGAAGAAGCACCGGCCAACUACG